AGUGAACGCUGGCGGCAGGCCUAACACAUGCAAGUCGAACGGCAGCACAGGAGAGCUUGCUCUCUGGGUGGCGAGUGGCGGACGGGUGAGGAAUACAUCGGAAUCUACCCUUUCGUGGGGGAUAACGUAGGGAAACUUACGCUACUACCGCAUACGAUCUGAGGAUGAAAGCAGGGGACCGCAAGGCCUUGCGCGAUUGGAUGAGCCGAUGUCCGAUUAGCUAGUUGGCGGGGUAAAGGCCCACCAAGGCGACGAUCGGUAGCUGGUCUGAGAGGAUGAUCAGCCACACUGGAACUGAGACACGGUCCAGACUCCUACGGGAGGCAGAAGUGGGGAAUAUUGGACAAUGGGCGCAAGCCUGAUCCAGCCAUGCCGCGUGUGUGAAGAAGGCCUUCGGGUUGUAAAGCACUUUUGUUGGGAAAGAAAUCCUGUCGGCUAAUACCCGGCGGGGAUGACGGUACCCAAAGAAUAAGCACCGGCUAACUUCGUGCCAGCCGCCGCCGUAA
rnacentral:rRNA from 1 species